rnacentral:rRNA from 1 species
ACGAACGCUGGCGGCGUGCUUAACACCUGCAAGUCGAACGGAAAGGCCCUGCUUUUGUGGGGUGCUCGAGUGGCGAACGGGUGAGUAACACGUGAGUAACCUGCCCUUGACUUUGGGAUAACUUCAGGAAACUGGGGCUAAUACCGGAUAGGAGCUCCUGCUGCAUGGUGGGGGUUGGAAAGUUUCGGCGGCUGGGGAUGGACUCGCGGCUUAUCAGCUUGUUGGUGGGGUAGUGGCUUACCAAGGCUUUGACGGGUAGCCGGCCUGAGAGGGUGACCGGCCACAUUGGGACUGAGAUACGGCCCAGACUCCUACGGGAGGCAGCAGUGGGGAAUAUUGCACAAUGGGCGGAAGCCUGAUGCAGCAACGCCGCGUGCGGGAUGACGGCCUUCGGGUUGUAAACCGCUUUCGCCUGUGACGAAGCGUGAGUGACGGUAAUGGGUAAAGAAGCACCGGCUAACUACGUG